UAGGGAAUCUUCCACAAUGGACGAAAGUACUGAUGGAGCAACGCCGCGUGAGUGAAGAAGGGUUUCGGCUCGUAAACUCUGUUGUUAAAGAAGAACAUAUCUGAGAGUAACUGUUCAGGUAUUGACGGUAUUUAACCAGAAAGCCACGGCUAACUACGUGCCAG
rnacentral:rRNA from 1 species